rnacentral:rRNA from 1 species
AGAGUUUGAUCAUGGCUCAGAUUGAACGCUGGCGGCGGGCCUAACACAUGCAAGUCGAACGGUAGCACAGAGGAGCUUGCUCCUUGGGUGACGAGUGGCGGACGGGUGAGUAAUGCCUGGGAAAUUGCCCAGUCGAGGGGGAUAACAGUUGGAAACGACUGCUAAUACCGCAUAACGUCGCAAGACCAAAGAGGGGGACCUUCGGGCCUCUUGCCAUCAGAUGUGCCCAGAUGGGAUUAGCUAGUAGGUGAGGUAAUGGCUCACCAAGGCGACGAUCCCUAGCUGGUCUGAGAGGAUGAUCAGCCACACUGGGACUGAGACACGGCCCAGACUCCUACGGGAGGCAGCAGUGGGGAAUAUUGCACAAUGGGGGAAACCCUGAUGCAGCCAUGCCGCGUGUAUGAAGAAGGCCUUCGGGUUGUAAAGUACUUUCAGCGAGGAGGAAGGCAUUAAGGUUAAUAACCUUAGUGAUUGACGUUACUCGCAGAAGAAGCACCGGCUAACUCCGUGCCAGCAGCCGCGGUAAUAC